rnacentral:tRNA from 1 species
GACAUAGUGACUGAUAAAGGUGGUAUAUUGUAAAUAUAUUUAUAGGCUUUUGCCUCUGUGUCA